GACGAACGCUGGCGGCGUGCUUAACACAUGCAAGUCGAACGAAGUGGCGAACGGGUGAGUAAUACGUGGGUAACCUGCCCUCCUUUUUGGGAUAAGCCUUGGAAACGGGGUCUAAUACCGAAUCAAGGGGGAUGGGCUCGCGGCCUAUCAGCUUGUUGGUGGGGUGAUGGCCUACCAAGGCGGUGACGGGUAGCCGGCCUGAGAGGGUGACCGGCCACAUUGCGCCUGAGAUACGGCACAGAGUCCUACGGGAGGCAGCAGUGGGGGAUAUUGCACAAUGGGCGAAAGCCGGAUGCAGCGACUCCGCGGGGGGGAUGAAGGCUUUCGGGUUGUAAACCUCUUUGGCUAUCGAACGGGUAGGUGUAGAAGAAGCGCAGGCUAACUACGUGCCAGCAGCCGCGGUAAUAC
rnacentral:rRNA from 1 species